GAGUUUGAUCCUGGCUCAGGAUGAACGCUGGCGGCGUGCCUAAUACAUGCAAGUCGAGCGAACAGAUAAGGAGCUUGCUCCUUUGACGUUAGCGGCGGACGGGUGAGUAACACGUGGGUAACCUACCUAUAAGACUGGAAUAACUCCGGGAAACCGGGGCUAAUGCCGGAUAAUAUUUAGAACCGCAUGGUUCUAAAGUGAAAGAUGGUUUUACUAUCACUUAUAGAUGGACCCGCGCCGUAUUAGCUAGUUGGUGGGGUAAUGGCUUACCAAGGCAACGAUACGUAGCCGACCUGAGAGGGUGAUCGGCCACACUGGAACUGAGACACGGUCCAGACUCCUACGGGAGGCAGCAGUAGGGAAUCUUCCGCAAUGGGCGAAAGCCUGACGGAGCAACGCCGCGUGAGUGAUGAAGGUCUUCGGAUCGUAAAACUCUGUUAUUAGGGAAGAACAAAUGUGUAAGUAACUGUGCACGUCUUGACGGUACCUAAUCAGAAAGCCACGGCUAACUACGUGCCAGCAGCCGCGGUAA
rnacentral:rRNA from 1 species